rnacentral:rRNA from 1 species
AUGAACAAUCCGCCGGCUGCAUGUACCCGCUGGCUGCCUCCAGCUAACUACGAUGCCAAGCUGAAUGUGGACGGAGGCAUCUCCAGGAGUGGCACCCGUGGUGCAGCAGCAGUAGUCUGCCGGAACAAGCAUGGCAAGUACCUUGGGGCCUCCGCAAUCGUCUACGACGGCCUCGUCGACCCGGCGACGUUAGAAGCUCAAGCUUGUAAUGAAGCCUUGGCCCUUGCCACUGAUCUGCAUAUUGAUUCUAUCUGUAUUGCUUCUGAUUGCGCGGAAGUUGUCACGAACAUUGAGAAGGGGGCUUUUUGCCGCUAUGCUACCAUUUUACGAGAGAUAAAUCACCGCCAAGCAUCGUUUCGAGCACUCGAGGUCCUCCACGAGAAGCGUGAGCACAAUGGAGAAGCCCAUUCGCUCGCGAAGGGGGCUUCCUCUCUUCCUGUUGGGCGCCAUGUGUGGCUUUCUUUUUUGCUCGAUUUAAUAUGUAUCCCUAUGACCAUUGAUACUUAA